CUUGUAUCUCCUUGCUCAUGUGUGAAACCCUGGUAGGAAUGACCCCAAACUGGCCGGUUUUGCCCUUGGAGUUGCUGUUCCAUUUAAGGGCUGAGUUGGACCCCUCUGGGCCUAGUCCUGACCUCCUAAAGAGGCUUCAGAGUCUGUGACCUGACAUUUGGGGACAGAGUUUACUCAGUGGGUUUGUAUGCAACGACUGGACUACAGCAGGCCCUGAUCAUCUGCCACCAGCCGGUUUUUCUCCAGAGGUAUGAAUCCGUUUGUCCUGUCCAGGGGCAAGCCACCUAGGUCCCGAUAUCAGCCCCACCGUCGUCCCUGAGUUGGUGUCUUUGAACAAAGCCUUAUCUUCCCCAUCAUUGAAAUGGUCACAUUAGGCUCCUACUGAGUUUGCACACCCUCGGUGCAGGAAUCCUUAGUACACAGUCCUUGAAGUUGUCUGAGAUACUCCUCCCAGCAGGGAAAUCUUGUGUGCCAAAGGUCAACCUCCAUGCCUCUGAUGAUAACAGCCUGGAAUUUGUAAACCUUGGAAUGAUCUUUAUUGGGUCACAGCUUGUCUCCACCUCCACAGCCUCACCUAGGAUGGGCCAUGUUCCAGAGACUGCCGGAGCUCACGCUCUGCAAAAGUAAACACAGCUCAGCCUGCCUGGCUCCCUGGACAGUUUCUGGUGAAUCAAUGGGACAGUUUAUAAAACCUCUUAAGUAAUCAUCGACUGUCUUGGGGUUUUCCCCUCUUUCCAGGAUGUGACAUGAAAGCCUGCUGCUUCCGAUGAGACCGGUCCCAGCGUCACCCCGCAGGUUGCGUCAAUCACCAGCCAGUGGGGAGUGAAGGGCUAAGCUGCUGAGGCAGGUGCUUCGGGAGGUGACGCAGGAAGCGUAGAUGCUCCUGAAAGUGUGACUGGGGAUUUCCACCCAGGGCCAAUUCUUGUUCUUUUGUUGUUACUCGAGUAUGGCAUUUUCAUCCCAGGAUAGAUGUUCCAUGACCCACAGUCAUUUCCGGGGAUAAGGUACCUACUUCCUGUGGCUAAAGGGCUCACUCAACACAGGGAAGACAGCCCGGUCCUCAGGGCUGGAGUAAUGUUUGACCACCUGGAUUGGUUUUUUUGGUGCUGGCUGCUGAGAUGAGAACACCUCACAGUGCGAGCAUAGCUCAGACUUCUAAUACUGAUGAUGCUGUAGGAGGAAGUGGAUUCCCAGUUAGCAGAAACAAAACCACUCAGAGUGGAAGAAAUGGGAGCCCUGUGGU
rnacentral:lncRNA from 1 species